GGUUUCACCAUGUUGGCCAGGCUGGUCUGGAACUCCUGACCUCAGGUGAUCCACCCGCCUUGACCUCCCAAAGUGCUGGGAUUACAGGCGUGAGCCACGGCGCCCGGCCAUCAUGUGCUUAUUUUUAAAGCGAGGUGGAUGACACCAUUCACCCAGAGCCGUGUUCCUUUUUGGCGACAAAACAAAACCAAAAAAGCCUAGGACUUGACUCAUUAGAAGUGUUAAUCGAUUUUUACCACGCUGAAAUGAAGGUAUAAAGUCAGUCUGUGCUGUCGUGAAAUUCCAAGGAGAUUUGGAAGUAAGAUCAUUAUUUACUGGUCCUUUAGAAUAGACCCCACCCCCCAAAAAAAGACUUAAAAAACGAGGGCUGUCCCCUGCAGACUCUGGCAGGACCCUGGGCUGCUCUGGGCGAUGCAGACCAGGGGCAGCUCACCGACUUGAUUCACAGUGAUUCUGGUUUGCCGUUUCUCUGUGUGGCCACGAGUCGGGGGCGUGUCCAGCGGUGGGCAUACUUACACCUUGUAGUUAAGCUCAGCGUUCAUCUGGGUAUACGUCUCGUAGAUGACAUCGAUGGUCGCCAUGUAGUUGACUAGGAAGAGGCGGAUCUUUUCCAGGCACUCCUCCUCCGUCACAUUCUGCCCCUUGGAGAGCGCUUUCAGGAAGUCGGACUUACAGGAGGCUGCGUACAGUGCUGCCUGGAAGAUCUGCACGAUCCAGCCGUGGUACUUCAUGAGGGCCAUUUCGUAGGCCUUGGUGGCGUUGACGCGGAUGAGGUUGAGGUGGUUCUCGUCCGGCUCCUCGUUGCAGAUGCUCUGGAGGAAGACCUGGAUGAAGCGGAGGCCUCUUUUCAGCCACAUCAGCGCCAGCGUGGCCCCUACUUUGAGCCGCUCUGCUCCAUACAUUUCUUUCUCCACCUCCAGGAUGUUCUGCAGGGUCCGGAACUUGGCUGGGUUGGUGUCGUACACAGCUUUGAUUUUUGUGAUGUUGCUGCUUAUGUCUGCCUUGAUGGGAGUAAACACUGGGGACCCAAGGCAAUCGAAGAAGGGCGGCAGGUGGGACACCGCCUCGAGGAAGGGCCCAGUCUCGAUCUGCUUGUCCGCGGGCAGCGGCUUCAGCAGGUGUUCGGUCAGCAGAGCCAUUUCGGGUUCG
rnacentral:lncRNA from 1 species